UCACAUCUAAUUUUGACACACCUUUGAUCUCUAACUUUUUUUUUUUUGCCAACUGAUUUUUUAUUUUAUUAAACAAACUUUUACAACAUAAAACCCAAAAAACAAAUGGGCAACCAACAUACAGGCCCAGUCGACACACACUAAAAGAACAAGACCCAAUGACCCAAGUAACACCCAAAUCAGAGGAAGAAAAACGGUGACGAGCCACAUCCACGUGUUUGCCGCUUGAGGACGAAGCAACAGGUGUUGGAAUAACCUUCACCGUCUUCACCGACUUUGUCGUUGCCGGGACUGAACGGCAAUCACCAGAACUGAACAGCUACCACCGGAACCUACCGGGAACACGAUCACAAUCAACGAACCACCAUCUUCGAAUCAUACUCCUUCAUCGCUUGAAACUCCAUCCCAUGGAGAGCAUCACUCGACCAAUCGAGAGCUCAUCCACACACCAAUCACCAAACACACAGAGUCCAGACCAUGCCACAGAUUAUACGCUUUAAGAGACAAAUACUAGAUGAGAACAUAAGCUAGCGAGUUAUACCAAACUCCUAGAAACUAAGCCAACAGGAAUAAAAGAUAUCCCUUUGGAGACAUAAGCCGGCUGAGACCAAACUGAAUCACCGGAGACAUAGAACCAAACAACCUAAAACAAAGGGCUGAGAGACUUAAGACCCUUUCAAAAAAAACAUGCAAGCCUAUAACACGAAAGAGAACCAGAACCGGACCGACGGUGGCUUUGGAAGCCCACUGUGUCGGCCAGUGGAUCAAAAAAUCAAAGAGAAAUACGCAGAUGAAUCUAGAGAGAAGAGAGAGCUUUUCUAGAGAGAUGGAAUCUAAUGCUAUGUUCGAUAUACCUUUGAUCUCUAACCCACUAACUCUCUUAUUAUUAAUUACAGAAAAUUUUACUACAAAUCCAGUAACUAAUCCAUGUAUUUUACAAGUAUAUUUAAUUAAUAAUUACCUUAAACUUAAAAGCCCACAUAAAUUUAGGUUAGAAAAUUGUACCUUACUCUGUUAUCGAAAACGUUUGUCAUCUUCUUUGAGAAAAUAUCAAGCAUUGACUAUCUGAUAGAGUGAGUCAAAUUAGACGCAUACCUGGCCCUGCUAUCUGUGAAGUGCAAACGGCCCACAAAGUACACAAAUGUUCAUCUAGAAAAUAGCAAACGGAGCAUUGACCAUUGGAGAAAAUUUAGUUUCCAGACAGAACUUUUUAAAACCUGACGUGUAUUAGAUGUUUUGUUCCAGUUUCGUUUUGAUCAGCAAGUCUGGGAACCAGCCCCGUUCAUGAGAACCUUUUCACCCAUCUACUGGGGGAUUUUGCAAUAGGAUGGCAAAACUGUGAGCGAACUCACAACCUAAGCAGAUUUAGCACUUAUAAAUUGCAUGGCACCUAUGAACAGAAAGGAAUAACAAG
rnacentral:lncRNA from 1 species